rnacentral:tRNA from 1 species
AGAAAGGUGGCUCAAUGGGUAGAGUGCAGGACUCACAUGUAUGAGGUCCUGGGUUCAAUCCCCUGCCACUUUA